UACGAAGGGGGCUAGCGUUGCUCGGAAUCACUGGGCGUAAAGCGCACGUAGGCGGAUUGUUAAGUCAGGGGUGAAAUCCUGGAGCUCAACUCCAGAACUGCCUUUGAUACUGGCGAUCUUGAGUCCGGGAGAGGUGAGUGGAACUGCGAGUGUAGAGGUGAAAUUCGUAGAUAUUCGCAAGAACACCAGUGGCGAAGGCGGUCUGCUGGGCAGUGGGAUCGGAAGGUCCCUUCAACCGACACUGAGGCGCGACAGCGUGGGGAGCAAACAGG
rnacentral:rRNA from 1 species